rnacentral:rRNA from 1 species
GACAGAGGGUGCAAACGUUGUUCGGAAUUACUGGGCGUAAAGCGCGUGUAGGCUGUUUCGAAAGUCAGGUGUGAAAGCCCUGGGCUCAACCCAGGAAGUGCACUUGAAACUUCGAGACUCGAGUCCUGGAGAGGGUGGCGGAAUUCUCGGUGUAGAGGUGAAAUUCGUAGAUAUCGAGAGGAACACCGGUGGCGAAGGCGGCUACCUGGACAGUGACUGACGCUGAGACGCGAAAGCGUGGGGAGCAAACAGG